UGCGAUGUGACUCAGAGCCAGCCGC
rnacentral:miRNA from 1 species